CUGGUGGCUCAGCAGAUUAAGGAUCUGGCAUUGUCACUGUUUUGGCGCAGGCUUGAUCCCUGGCCUGGGAACUUCUGCAUGCCAUGGUUGUGGCUGGGAAAAAAAAAAAAAAGGUGUCAUCAGUCUUGAUCAAGUAGUUUGAUUUGUUGUUGUCGUCUUUGCUAUUUAGGGCCUCAUGUGUGGCAUAUGGAAGUUCCCAGGCUCUGAGUUGAACACGAGCUGUAGCCGCUGGACUAUGCCACAGCUACAGCAAUGCUUGUUCCAAGCCUUGUCUGUGACCUACACCACAGGUCGUGGCAAUUGCUGGAUCCUCUACCCACUGAGCGAGGCCAGGGAUUGAACCUGCAUCCUCACGGAUACUAGUUGGAUUUGUUACCACUGAGCCACAAGGGGAACUCCAAUAGUUUGAUUUUUAUCCUCAGUCCUAAAUUUACAUAUAGGGAGACAGUCCACUGUGGGUAAGAGCAUGGGAUUGAGUUCAAUCCUUUGCUUUGUGUUUUCCUAGCUGUGUGACCCUGGGCAAGUUGUUUGGCUUCUCUGAAUCCUGGCUUCCUCUUGUACGAAAUGAGGGUAACAAUGGGUUGAAGAUUAAAUGAGCUAAUGUGUAUGAAUGCUUUACACUGUGCUGGUAUGUUGUAAUCAUUACUUAAAUGGUUUCUGCAGUUUAUAAUAUGAGAUAUAUGUUUAUAUAUGCUAUAAAACAAAGCAUAUCCCUGUAUAUUUAUUUAUGUCAGUAGUUUAUUUUGGGCUUGUGAGGAUAGGGAUGGCCUACUUUAUGUUCUUUCUUAUUGGAAAUACAUAAAACAUGUCAUAAAUGCUUCAUUUCAGGGUGGCAACACUCAGCUGUAUUUGCUUUUGCUUUAUGGCCCUCUCCUCAGGUGCAUUUCAGAACAAACACUCCACGUUGCACGAGGCUAACUCUGACGUAGAGAUCGGAGGGCGAGAAGGCACUGGAUUCAGAGCUUGUUUCCUUGCUGUUAACUGAGCAGCCAAACUUAAAGCCUCAUACUCUUGUGUGCAAAACCCUCACAAUGUUACUGAAUAUUUACGCCUCUCCCUCCCGCUUCCUCUAAAUCCACAUGUUGAAGCCGGGAUGCCCAGUGUGAUGGUGUCUGAGGCAGAGCCUUUGGGAAGUACAGGAACCUUGGUCUUGGACUUUCUGUUCCCAUGACUGGGGGAAAUAAAGGUUGUUGUCUAAGGCACCCAGUCUAUGGAAUUAUGCUAUAGUAACCUGAACAGACCAAGAGAGCCUUGCUCCACACAUCUGGUGGUCAGCCACUCUGAUGCCAAGGUGUCCAAGGGGUCCUCCUCUUUGCUAAUGUCCCUUCCUUCUCAGAGUUGCUGCAGCCCUGGCUUCUCUGGCUACUUUUUUCUCCUCUCUGAUGGAGAUCAGGUGAAUCAGAAUUGCUGGGCAGAGACCUGGGAAUCUGGAUUUUAUGGAGCUCCCCAGAUGAUUCUGAUGGGUAGGGCAUCCUAGCAAGGGAACCAGUGCUGUGACCUAUGGCCACUCAGUCUCCUCUGAGGGAGGAAGCAGGUGGGGGUCUCACCCACACACCCUCCCUUAAUGCGGUACCUGGAGACCUCACAGCGGGGCCCGGGGGGGGAUGAUCAGCGGAAUAGCCCUGAGGCUGUGUGACGGGACCCUUCCUCUAACUGAAGGCAUGUCUUUGGUGUGAGUUCAGGUGAGAGGGACAGAAAUGGUGGGAACAGCAGGCCAGAUUGUGUGGGCCCAGGACUUUUUCUCCAGUCAGCAGUCCUGCCCACCUCCUGGCCAGGUGAGCCUUCCAGAGUGGCCUGAGGCAGUCAUCUCAGAGAGGUCGAUUGAGUACUGGGAACUGGGGUGACACUGGGAACUGGGGUCCUGAAAUUCCUUCAUUUCAGAAAAGUUUAGACCUCUUCCAUGGGCUAAUAACUUCUCUCCUGCAAAUCUUCCUCUCAUCCAGAAGGUCAGAUUGGUUGUUCAAUGGAGCAGAAUGUUUUCUGAGUGCCCACUCUGUGCCAGGUACAGAGCUAAGACUCAGCUACUGAGCUGAAUCACGCAUCUCUGAAAUGCUUUCAGUCUCUGGAAGUGGGUUCAGAGUGGGUUCCGAGGAUCGGUUGUGGCAGGAUAACCUGGAGCGGUUUGUUUAAAACAUAGCUGCCCAGUGUCAGCAAAUGCCUCACUCUGGUGAGGGGGUUUGAUAAUGGGAGAGGCUAAGCAAGCGUGGGGGCAGGGAAUACAAAUGGGAACUCUCUGUACCUUCUGUUCGCUUUUUUCUGUGAACCUGAAAAUACUCUAUAAAAGUAGUUAAAUAAAGUGCAGAUGUGGGAGCUCCCCAAACCCAGGUCUCCUUAUGCAGAAUUUCAGAGUGGUGUCUCUGCAGCUUUGGAAGGCCCUGUGUAGAAUCUCAUUCACCAUAAAGUUAGAAGCAGGGAAGCUAGCUACUUAAAUUCUUAAAACACCCCCAAAUUUAUGUUCAUUGUAUAAAGUACAUAUAAACAAAAAGAAGGAAAUUAAAACCACUUGUAACUCUACUCUCCUAAGAUAAUCAUUCUUGGCAUGUUAUUGAAUACCCUUCUAGAUAUGUGUCUGUGUGUGUGUGUUUAGACCUAUGUGUCGCAUCCAUGUAUACCUGGCGGUGCACUAAGCCCUAGGGACAGAGAUGAGAAAAAGAAUGGGCCUGGCUGUGAAACACCUACAGCCAUGUUAAAUGAUACCUGGCACAGCUCAGUGCCCAGCCUCAGUCACCCACUCAUCUGCUCUUACCUUUUCCCCGCAGGUGUAUAUCAUCAACGUGACCUGGUCUGACUCCACGUCCCAGACCAUCUACCGGAGGUACAGCAAGUUCUUUGACCUGCAGGUGAGUGGGUCUGAGCUUGUAUGGUGCCUGGUUCCACCUGAAGUGGCCUGAGUCUCUAGUGGGCUAGUCUCUUCAUGCCCCUACUCAUCCAGAGAACCCCCUCCAGACCUCUCAGGAUCAGAUUCUAACCAGAGCAGAAGGAUGGAGGAGGGGACCUUGGUGGUCGAGCUGGACUAGACUCAGUCUUGGGUGUUGCAGGCAGACACUUGGGGCUGUGCCGGCUUCCUCAAACGGUCUUAACAGUCAUGGUUUGUCACCCUCCUUCGUCUGGGGGUGGAAAACCAGGGCGGAGAGGCAGGAGGAUGGCUGUAGGUGCUGUGUGCCUGAGCAGCCAUGUGUCUAUAAACAUCCAGGGUGAGACACAAGCCACCACAUCAUUGUAGGCAAAGAAAAGCAAACACACAGAAAAGACUGUAACAGAAAAUGAGCCAUUUCUUGAACUACAGACACAAACUGGGGAUACCACUGUGUCUAUCUAAUGGAAUCAGGCCCUUGUUGCCCUAUUUGUACACAUGUAUGAUGUGUGUGCCUCUCUAACGUACACAAGCGUGUCACACAGGGGGAUGGUAGCAUGGCUCCUACAGCUCCAUUGUGGACACCUUCCUUGAUGCCAACUAAUUUGGCUAGGCCUCUUCGGGUUAUAAAUGAUAGUUUUAUACUCAUACUGGCUUAGACAAAAAAGAGACUUGGUUGGAAGGAUAUACGAGGGAAGCUUAUGCAGUCAACCUGUGGUGGAAAAGGGAGUGAGGCAGUGGGCUCAGGGACGGCUGAAACUGGGUGCUGCUCUCCAUCUGUCUUGUCUCUGGGCACUAUCCUCAGCUUCCUGAGUAGCUCAGCUCCUAAUAGCUCCCAAAUUUCAUAUUUUGUGGUUUCCAACAGCACAGAAACUGUGCUUCUCUCCCAGUUCCAAAUUGGAGCAUCCCAGGGAAGAUUCUGAUUGGCCUGAGCUGGAUCAGGUACCCUCUCUGCACCAAUCACUAUGGCCUGUUAUAGAGGGGCAUAGGCACAGACAAAGCCACUAGGGGGUCCACCCCUGUUUAUCAGAGGCAGGCACCAGACAAGGCAGAAUUACUGUGAGUCGGGCGGCAACCCUUGCUCUACCAGGAAGGGAAAACUGAGAGUGUCUAGAUUCUUCCUUAGGGCUAUCAGCCUGGUCAAUAAAAACACAAAGAACAUCCACUGCUGGCCCUAACAACCAAGGUCCACUCCUUCGUCUGCUGGCCUCUCUGGUGGUGAGUCAUCUUAGAGAGGCUAGGCUUGCAAUGUUCACACCCAUGUACCUGACCUUAUCCCAUUGUCCUUAUUACUGUACCUGUGAGAUGAGCCAAAGGUGAGCCAGCUUCCUGCAUUACGAAUCCUCUCUUAAUCUAACACUAUGGGCUUGGAUAUCUCAUUGAAUAUGGGAUUAAAAGCCACUCCUUACCCUCCUGCCUUCUUCUUCCCCCAUCAAUUCCUGUCCAGUCUCAUUGUGUCCUUUUGUCAUAAACUGUUGGAAUUUGCUGGUACCCCAUCAAUGGGUGUAGUGUGCUGGACAGGAAAUGAUAACUUAGUUGGGGAGAGGGAACCCUGAAAGGACUCAUUGAUGAGCCAGAGGAGGUCUGAGAGCUCUCAAAUCAGAACUACCCCCCCGCCCCCACCACCUUUCUAUUCUGUUCCUGCUCCCCUUCCCUAGUUACAGAAUCUCACAAGAAAGGAAUGCUGCUCCCCCCACUUCUCCCUUGCCUGGAGGGUUCUUUGUGUCAGAGGGGACACAUGGCAUGAAGCAACUUGUAGGAUGUGCUGGCCGUGGUCAUGAGCAUGGCCAGGCCUGUCCAUGUGGUUCAUUGCCACCCUCUUGACCCUCUUGAUGCUGUUUGGAAAGGAGUUGGGAUGGUUCUUUGGAAUUUAACCUUUCAACCAAGCAAGCAUCUUUGGGAACCUGUUUUUCAAAACUUUGACACGAUGACUUUUAGUGAGGUUCAUUUUAGGGAGCCUUUCGUAUUUAUCAGGAUCUCUGAUUUUAAUAUGGUGGUUCCUAUAGAGGAAGAACAAAUGGCAUUGCUGAUUCCCUCUCUGGUAACUGGUGGCCCUCAGAAUGCAGCUUGGAGCUUAGGCACUGGGGACCCAUUGCCCAGGACUGGUUACUGGCUCUGUCCCUCUCUAACCCCAGACACCUCCAUAACUUCUCCAUUUUUUCAAGAAUGAAGAUUUCAAUGGUAACCACCCAGUAGGGUUGUUGUGAGGAUUGAGUGAGUGAAUCCAUGUUUUUCUGAACACGUGGUUGUCUAGUGAGUUAUUCAGUGUUAAGGGUGACUAGGACGCUGGGCUGCCUGGCUGGAGGGUCUCCCAUCAUGGUGUUGCUUUCUCGGUUCCCUCUCUUGGCUUCACUCUGCUGAGGAGCUACCCUGGGCCCAGGCCUGUGCCAAAGUCUUUAGAGUCCCACAGGCUCUCUCUGGAGUCUGCCCCUGGAGCAGGCUGCAGUGAGUGGCGGGGGGUGAGGGGGGCUGUAUAGCCUGCAGAGGGCUGUUCUCAGAAUCCUCCUGCUCCUCCCCUUUUUGGAGGAGCCCACCUUGGAACCCUGGAAGUCCUAGGCUGAUGAAGCCAGCCUGGGGGAAGCUGCUUACCAACUUGUGAUUCUAUGGCUUCAGGAGAGCAUAUACU
rnacentral:lncRNA from 1 species